GUGAAUCAUCAAAUCUUUGAACGCAAAUUGCACUCUCUUCGGAGAGUAUGCCUGUUUGAGGGUCAGUAUUAAUAAAAAUCGGUGUGUUGCUUCUUUGUGACGCUCCGGAGUUUGGGUCAUCUUAAUAUCCUUUAGGUUUUAAGAGGCUUAAAAUUGACUUUUUUUGCGCAUUUUAGAUGUACAUAAAUUCUUUUUUUUAUUCGUCUGUCUUAAUGCUCAAAUUCUUUUUGAUUGCGACAUUAUGGUGGGGUUUGGUG
rnacentral:misc_RNA from 1 species